rnacentral:rRNA from 1 species
AGAGUUUGAUCCUGGCUCACAUUGAACGCUGGCGGUAUGCUUAACACAUGCAAGUCCAACGGCAGCAUGAUAUGUAGCAAUACAUAUUGAUGGCGAGUGGCGGACGGGUGAGUAACACGUAGGAAUCUGCCCUAGAGAGGGGGAUAACCCGAGGAAACUCGGGCUAAUACCGCAUAAUCUCGAGAGAGCAAAGGCUAAGUAGUAAUAUCUGGUGCUUUAGGAGGAGCCUGCGUCUGAUUAGCUAGUUGGUGGGGUAAAGGCCUACCAAGGCGAUGAUCAGUAGCUGGUCUGAGAGGAUGAUCAGCCACAUUGGGACUGAGACACGGCCCAAACUCCUACGGGAGGCAGCAGUGGGGAAUAUUGGACAAUGGGGGCAACCCUGAUCCAGCAAUACCGCGUGUGUGAAGAAGGCCUUCGGGUUGUAAAGCACUUUAGGUUGGGAAGAAGGCGUAUAGUUUAAGAGAUGAUACGUUUGACGGUACCAACAGAAUAAGCACCGGCUAACUCUGUGCCAGCAGCCGCGGUAAUACAGAGGGUGCAAGCGUUAAUCGGAAUUACUGGGCGUAAAGGGCGCGUGGGUUGUUUGUUAAGUGAGAUGUGAAAUCCCUGGGCUUAACCUACGAAUUGCAUCUUAAACUGAUGAACUAGAGUACUGUAGAGGGUAGUGGAAUUUCCGGUGUAGCGGUGAAAUGCGUAGAUAUCGGAAGGAACACCAGUGGCGAAUGCGGCUACCUGGACAGAUACUGACACUGAGGCGCGAGAGCGUGGGGAGCAAACAGGAUUAU